AAUGAACGUUGGCGGCGUGGAUUAGGCAUGCAAGUCGUGCGAGAACCGUAGCAAUACGGGGACAGCGGCGAAAGGGAGAGGAAUACGCGGGUACCUACCCUCGGAUCGGGGAUAGCUACGGGAAACUGUAGGUAAUACCAGAUGACGUCUUCGGACCAAAGGUGUGAUUCCGUCCGGGGAGGGGCCCACGUCCUAUUAGCUUGUUGGCGAGGUAACGGCUCACCAAGGCAAAGAUGGGUAUGGGAUGUGAGAGCAUGAUCCCACUCACUGGGACUGAGACACUGCCCAGACACCUACGGGUGGCUGCAGUCGAGAAUCUUCGGCAAUGGGGGCAACCCUGACCGAGCGACGCCGCGUGCGAGAUGAAGGCCUUCGGGUUGUAAAUCGCUGUCAGUGGGGAGGAAAUGCUGGUGGGUUCUCCCAUCAGUUUGACCUAUCCGCAGAGGAAGGACGGGCUAAGUUCGUGCCAGCCGCCGCCGUAAUAC
rnacentral:rRNA from 1 species